CAGUCGCCGCGGUAAUACGUAGGGUGCGAGCGUUAAUCGGAAUUACUGGGCGUAAAGCGUGCGCAGGCGGUUCGUUAAGACAGAUGUGAAAUCCCCGGGCUUAACCUGGGAACUGCAUUUGUGACUGGCGAGCUAGAGUAUGGCAGAGGGGGGUAGAAUUCCACGUGUAGCAGUGAAAUGCGUAGAGAUGUGGAGGAAUACCGAUGGCGAAGGCAGCCCCCUGGGCCAAUACUGACGCUCAUGCACGAAAGCGUGGGGAGCAAACAGGAUUAGAUACCCCAGUAGUCCCUGUCUCUUAUAC
rnacentral:rRNA from 1 species